GGUUGUAGCUCAGUGGUAGUGUGCUUGCUUAGCAUGUAUGAGGCACUGGGUUAGAUCCUCAGCACCA
rnacentral:tRNA from 1 species